rnacentral:rRNA from 1 species
UGGGGAAUAUUGCACAAUGGGCGAAAGCCUGAUGCAGCGACGCCGCGUGCGGGAUGAAGGCCUUCGGGUUGUAAACCGCUUUUAAUUGGGAGCAAGCGAGAGUGAGUGUACCUUUUGAAUAAGCACCGGCUAACUACGUGCCAGCAGCCGCGGUAAUACGUAGGGUGCAAGCGUUAUCCGGAAUUAUUGGGCGUAAAGAGCUCGUAGGCGGUUUGUCACGCCUGGUGUGAAAGUCCAUCGCUUAACGGUGGAUCUGCGCCGGGUACGGGCAGGCUAGAGUGCAGUAGGGGAGAUUGGAAUUCCCGGUGUAACGGUGGAAUGUGUAGAUAUCGGGAAGAACACCAAUGGCGAAGGCAGAUCUCUGGGCUGUUACUGACGCUGAGGAGCGAAAGCAUGGGGAGCGAACAGGAUUAGAUACCCUGGUAGUCCAUGCCGUAAAACGGUGGAUGCUGGAUGUGGGACCCUUCCACGGGUUCCGUGUCGGAGCUAACGCGUUAAGCAUCCCGCCUGGGGGAGUACGGUCGCAAGGCUAAAA